rnacentral:sRNA from 1 species
UAUUUACAGCCUGAGAACCACCCUUGUG